CCAAUUGCUCGUUUUAAAUUCUCGAUUCACAUUGGUUUGGGCGGCGCGUGGUGGCCGUUCAGGUAGCUCGUGAAAGGAACGAUUUACCGUUUCAUGGUUUGAAUUUGCCAUUCCGAAUUGGGAAACCCUCGUCAUUGCUCUUCCGGCUCCUGAUUAUUUUAAUGGCAUCGGCCGUUUUGGCGAACCAAAGUGAGUCGAAUUGGUCACCGCAGCCGAGAAGCAGUGUAGCUAAAUUCAUGGGCAAAGUUCCUUACCCAGCAACAAAGCGUAAACACAACCCUAAAUUGAAAAAGAAACGUCAAUUCAACAAGCAAUUGCCGCCGUGUGAUGAUGAUGCUGGCCAUGUCGUCGAUGAUUUCCUGGCCGUAGCCCGACCGGCGGCUUCUGAUGCUGCGUCGUCGAUUGAUCGGAAACAGAACCAGUUUAGCUCCAGCGCUAUUGUAAGCUUCUGCGUCAGCACUUAUUCGAGGAAUGAGUUGAUUGAUCUGAAGAGCCAGUUGAUUGUCGAGCUGGAUCGGGUUCGUGAGUUGAAGAAUCGAGUCAAUUCGAACGAUUUUCAGUUGAGAUCCAGCUCAAAACCCUUACCUCAAAAAGGAAUUUCCGGUGACAAACGUCCUUUGCCCCCUAAUUCCAUCAAAGAAUUGAAGAGACUGAACACACAAGAGAAUGGAAAAGCACCACAAGCUCAUUUGAUGAAAAUUUGUUCCCAAAUACUGAACAAAUUGAUGAAACAUAAGUAUGGCCAUGUCUUCAAUUCUCCGGUUUAUGUCAUUGGGUUGGGGCUUCAUGAUUACUACAGUGUAAUUAAGAACCCAAUGGAUCUGGGCACUAUUAGGACGAGACUAGCGAAGAAAUUCUAUGGGUCACCGUUGGAUUUCGCAGCUGAUUUAAGGUUAGCUUUCAAUAACGCCAUGUUAUACAAUCCUAAAGGGCUUGAAAUAAAUGCGUUGGCUGAACAGUUGCUUGCAAGAUUCGAGAAGUUGUUUCAGCCGCUGAGUUAUAAGCUGGAGUACGAAGAGCCAUUGGAAAGAGGUUAUUUUGAAGAAGAGUUGCUGGCUAGUUCUUGGGAUCAUGGCGAUGAUAGGUUGAAGAAAGAUAGAGAAAGAAAUGGGGAGAAAAAUACUGUUGAAAGUGAUUGUUUAAUUAAUAUGUCAGCAAGACCCGGUAAAGAUGGCGCCGGUUCACGCUUUGUUUCAAACCCAAAUGUUCCACCGCUUCCGCUUCAGUUGCCCUAACCGGCAAGGGUGGCGAGGGUUGGUUCGCCGAUUCGGGUACCGAAGCAGCCAAAGCCAAAGGCUAAGGAUCCGAGCAAGAGGGAAAUGACUAUGGAGGAGAAGCAUAGGCUGGGAAUGGGAUUGCAGAGCUUGCCGCAAGAGAAGAUGGAUAAUGUGGUUCAGAUUAUAAGGAAAAGGAAUGGGCAUUUGAGCCAGGAUGGGGAUGAGAUUGAACUUGAUAUCGAAGCAAUGGAUACUGAAACACUGUGGGAGUUGGAUCGAUUCGUCACUAAUUACAAGAAGAUGGCCAGCAAGAUAAGGCGGCAAGCAUUGUUGGCGAACAAUGUGGUGUCUAAUGGCACCGAUAGGGGGGAGAUAACUAUGAAGAAAAUUGAAGCUCCAGUGGAGAUGAAGAAACCCAAGAAAGCGGAUGCUGGCGAGGAAGAUGUAGAUAUUGGGGAUGAAAUGCCAAUGAGUAGUUUCCCACCCGUCGAGAUUGAGAAGGACAACGAUGUGCUAGUAGCAGUUCUAGUGACCCCAGCAGCUCGAGCAGUGGUUCAUCAUCUUCAAGUGGUAUUACUCAACCCUCUUUCGAAUUUCAGAAUGAUGGUUUCUGAAAAAAAUAACAACCAAAAGAACUGCGGGAAGAAAUUCUUAUCUAGAUAGGUUAUCAUUUGCAGAUUCGGAUUCUGGGUCUUCUUCAGGAAGUGAUUACGAUGCAGAUGACAGACAGUCUUAAAAGCUCGGAUUGAAGGAUUGGUUAUUCAUUUCCGAAGCUUGUGAGGUGUGGUUCUGGGAAAUCCGGUGCUUGAGAUGGGGUUGGAACCCUGGUACUCAAUUUUUUCUCCGAGGCAUCUACCAUCCUAUCUUUUGUUUAUUGGUUGGUGGCAUGUAUGCGUGGUAUAUGGAAACAGACUGGAAUGCCGGCGUUAGCCUCUUUGGGGUCAUACGUUGAGAGGCGGCAACAGCGUUGGCUUGAGAACAUCACAUAUAUUGGAGCAACCACCUAAUAAAGCAAAAGUGCGAUCCCAAUGCAUGUGCUCGGUUCCGGGUUAACCAUUGCCGUGUCUGGAGAAGGUUAGCAUCUCUUGUUAUCGGCCUUUGCUUAAGAGACAAGUUGAUGAAAAUUGACUGCCAGUUUGGGAUUUGGAAGCCCUAUUCGAAGUGAUGAUUCAGAUAUAUGAUAUAUGCAGAACUUAGUUUUUGUUG